rnacentral:rRNA from 1 species
UACGUAGGGUGCAAGCGUUAAUCGGAAUUACUGGGCGUAAAGCGUGCGCAGGCGGUUGUGCAAGACAGAUGUGAAAUCCCCGGGCUUAACCUGGGAACUGCAUUUGUGACUGCACAGCUGGAGUGCGGCAGAGGGGGAUGGAAUUCCGCGUGUAGCAGUGAAAUGCGUAGAUAUGCGGAGGAACACCGAUGGCGAAGGCAAUCCCCUGGGCCUGCACUGACGCUCAUGCGCGAAAGCGUGGAGAGCAAACAGG